AUGCCGCCGGGAGGAAGCCGCCGUCCGUGGCGCCAUACCCCUGUCGAGGUGCUGCGCAUGCUUCGUUCCCCACAGCCCCUCCCUCAUCCUCGGUCGUCACCGCCGUUGCCUGCUACUCCCCUCCACCACCGUUGCUGCUUAUGGGUCGGAUCUGGCGUUGGUGGGUCGGAGCUCGAGCUAGAGGCCGAGAUGGGGAAGGUCAAAAAAGGAGACCGGAUGGAGGUGCUCGAGGCCGAGGAAGCUGGAGAUGCACAACUAGCUUCACUGGCCAUCCGGUGGUUGCAGCAUGGGGCAACGCUCCAGUCGUGA
rnacentral:rRNA from 1 species